UACGGAGGGUGCAAGCGUUGUCCGGAAUCACUGGGCGUAAAGGGCGCGUAGGCGGCCCGGUAAGUCGGGGGUGAAAUCCUGCGGCUUAACCGCAGGGCUGCCUUCUAAACUGUCGGGCUCGAGCACGGUAGAGGCAGAUGGAAUUCCCGGUGGAGCGGUGGAAUGCGUAGAGAUCGGGAAGAACAUCAGUGGCGAAGGCGGUCUGCUGGGCCGUUGCUGACGCUGAGGCGCGACAGCGUGGGAAGCAAACAGG
rnacentral:rRNA from 1 species